AGUGAACGCUGGCGGUAGGCCUAACACAUGCAAGUCGAACGGCAGCACAGUAAGAGCUUGCUCUUACGGGUGGCGAGUGGCGGACGGGUGAGGAAUACAUCGGAAUCUACUUUUUCGUGGGGGAUAACGUAGGGAAACUUACGCUAAUACCGCAUACGACCUACGGGUGAAAGCAGGGGAUCUUCGGACCUUGCGCGAUUGAAUGAGCCGAUGUCGGAUUCGCUAGUUGGCGGGGUAAAGGCGCACCAAGGCGACGAUCCGUAGCUGGUCUGAGAGGAUGAUCCGCCACACUGGAACUGAGACACGGUACAGACUCCUACGGGAGGCAGCAGUGGGGAAUAUUGGACAAUGGGCGCAAGCCUGAUCCAGCCAUACCGCGUGGGUGAAGAAGGCCUUCGGGUUGUAAAGCCCUUUUGUUGGGAAAGAAAAGCAGCAGGUUAAUACCCCGCUGUUCUGACGGUACCCAAAGAAUAAGCACCGGCUAACUUCGUG
rnacentral:rRNA from 1 species